rnacentral:rRNA from 1 species
AUUGAACGCUGGCGGAAUGCUUUACACAUGCAAGUCGAACGGUAGAGGGGGCAACCCCUCGAGAGUGGCGAACGGGUGAGUAAUAUAUCGGAACGUGCCCAGUCGUGGGGGAUAACGUAGCGAAAGUUACGCUAAUACCGCAUACGAUCUAAGGAUGAAAGCGGGGGAUCGCAAGACCUCGCGCGAUUGGAGCGGCCGAUAUCAGAUUAGGUAGUUGGUGGGGUAAAGGCCCACCAAGCCAACGAUCUGUGGUUGGUCUGAGAGGACGACCAGCCACACUGGAACUGAGACACGGUCCAGACUCCUACGGGAGGCAGCAGUGGGGAAUUUCGGACAAUGGGCGAAAGCCUGAUCCAGCCAUUCCGCGUGCAGGAUGAAGGCCCUCGGGUUGUAAACUGCUUUUGUACAGAACGAAAAGGUUUCUACUAAUACUAGGAGCUCAUGACGGUACUGUAAGAAUAAGCACCGGCUAACUACGUGCCAGCCGCCGCCGUAA